GGGCCCGCACAAGCAGUGGAUUAUGUGGUUUAAUUCGACGCAACGCGAAGAACCUUACCGGGGUUUGACAUCCUGCUAACGAAGCAGAGAUGCAUUAGGUGCCCUUCGGGGAAAGCAGAGACAGGUGGUGCAUGGUUGUCGUCAGCUCGUGUCGUGAGAUGUUGGGUUAAGUCCCGCAACGAGCGCAACCCUUAUGGUUAGUUGCUACGCAAGAGCACUCUAGCCAGACUGCCGUUGACAAAACGGAGGAAGGUGGGGACGACGUCAAAUCAUCAUGCCCCUUAUAUCCCGGGCUACACACGUAAUACAAUGGCGGUCAACAAAGCGAUGCGAAACCGUGAGGCAGAGCGAAUCGCAAAAAGCCGUCUCAGUUCGGAUUGCAGGCUGCAACUCGCCUGCAUGAAGUUGGAAUUGCUAGUAAUCGCGGAUCAGCAUGCCGCGGUGAAUACGUUCCCGGGCCUU
rnacentral:rRNA from 1 species